CUGAGUGCGGCCGCCAUGUUCUCUGUGUGUCUUUGUCUUUGUGUGUGUUCUUUCAUUCUCCACCACCCCCGGUGCGGCCCCCAACAAGUGGCGCAGCGAGCAGGGUCAGCACGGAAGGAGACAGUCACUUGGACAGCUCACGUCAUUUAACUCCUUUGGCUUUACAGGAACUCCAGCUUGUGGAAGAGCAACUUCAAAAGGCUCAUUUACAUUAUAUCCUUCCCGAUGUUCCCCUUUCCCUUUGUUUAUUUCAUACUUUACAUUCUCCUACAGGAAUGAUUCAUCAGACCAAUCAGCCGCUAAAAUGGAUCUUUUUGUCCAAUAAAACAUCUAAACACUUGGCUACUUA